rnacentral:rRNA from 1 species
AGAGUUUGAUCCUGGCUCAGGAUAAACGCUGGCGGCGUGCCUAACACAUGCAAGUCGAACGUCCUUGCGCAAGCAAGGGAGUGGCGGACGGGUGAGGAACACGUGGGGCAUCUACCUUCGGGUGAGGAAUACCGGCGAGAAAUCGCCGACAAGACCGCAUACGCUCUUUCGCAAGAGAGAGGAAAGCUUCUUUCGUAAGAGAGAGGCGCCAGAAGAGGACCCUGCGUCCGAUUAGUUGGUUGGUGGGGUAACGGCCUACCAAGACGACGAUCGGUAGCUGGUCUGAGAGGACGAUCAGCCACACUGGGAUUGAGAACGGCCCAGACUCCUACGGGGGGCAGCAGUGAGGAAUUUUCGUCAAUGGGGGCAACCCUGAACGAGCAACGCCGCGUGCAGGAAGACGCUUUUCGGAGUGUAAACUGCUUUUCUCGGGGAAGAGAACGGACGGUACCCGAGGAAGAAGCCUCGGCUAACUACGUGCUAGCAGCCGCGGUAAUACGUAGGAGGCGAGCGUUGUCCGGAGUUACUGGGCGUAAAGCGCACGCAGGCGGUGCACCAAGUCUGGAGUGACAGCGCUCGGCUUAACCGAGCAGGGUCUUUGGAAACUGGUGGACUUGAGGGCUUCAGAGGAAUGCGGAACUCCGGGUGGAGUGGUGAAAUGCGUAGAUAUCCGGAAGAACACCAAAGGCGAAGGCAGCAUUCUGGGAAGUACCUGACGCUCAGGUGCGAAAGCCAGGGGAGCGAACGGGAUUAGAUACCCCGGUAGUCCUGGCCGUAAACGAUGACCACUAGACGUUGGGGGUAUCGACCCCCUCAGUGUCGAAGCUAACGCGAGAAGUGGUCCGCCUGGGGAGUACGGUCGCAAGAUUAAAACUCAAAGGAAUUGACGGGGACCCGCACAAGCAGCGGAGCGUGUGGUUUAAUUCGAUGCAACGCGAAGAACCUUACCAAAGCUUGACAUGCUCUUGCACCAGCCGUAAUGGGUUGUCCUCUUCGGAGGCGGGAGCACAGGUGCUGCAUGGCUGUCGUCAGCUCGUGUCGUGAGAUGUUGGGUUCAGUCCCGCAACGAGCGCAACCCCUGUCGGAUGUUAUCAGUCAUCCGAGACCGCCGCGAUGAACGUGGAGGAAGGAGGGGAUGACGUCAAGUCAGCACGGCCCUUACGCUUUGAGCGACACACACGCUACAAUGGUCGGGACAAGGGCAGCGAACCAGCGAUGGGGAGCUAAUCCUGUCAAACCCGGCCUCAGUUCAGAUUGGAGGCUGCAACUCGCCUCCAUGAAGUCGGAGUUGCUAGUAACCGUGGGUCAGCACACCACGGUGAAUACGUUCCCGGGUCUUGUACACACCGCCCGUCACACCACGAAAGUCGGCAACACCUGAAGCCGUCGGGCUAACUCGCGAGAGAGGCAGGCGUCGA